rnacentral:tmRNA from 1 species
CCUCUUCCCAUCCCUGACGGAAAACACUAUAUCACCCAUGCCGGUCUUCGGGCCGGCUAUGGCGAUAAAUGAGCGGUGUAAUAAACCUAUUGGACCCGGGGGCGGUACCCGGCGCCUCCACCAAAAACCGGCGGCCCAGCAAUGGAUGGCCGGCUUUUGAUGGGGGCGAAACAGGAUCGACAAGGGUGUAAAGAUCGUCUUUUUGCUCGGCAUUGUACCGCCGUUAUCGGGCUAAAAUUGUAGUUGCAAACGACAACUAUGCGGAAGCUCGUCUCGCUGCUUAAUCGCGGUGUGACACUUCAAAUAAAGCCCUAGUGGUUCGCACCUCUAGGCGGGGUCCGAAGGCACCUGGCAACAGAAGCCUUCACC